CGAAAGUUAGAGGUUCGAAGGCGAUCAGAUACCGCCCUAGUUCUAACCAUAAACGAUGCCAGCCAGCGAUCCGGCUGUGUUCCUCAAAUGACACGCCGGGCAGCUUCCGGGAAACCAAAGCUUUUGGGUUCCGGGGGAAGUAUGGUUGCAAAGCUGAAACUUAAAGGAAUUGACGGAGGGGCACCACCAGACGUGGAUGUUGCGGUUCAAUUUGACUCAACGCAGCAAAUCCUACCAGGCCAGGACACAGGAAGGAUUGACAGAUUGAGAGCUCUUUCUUGAUUCUGUGGGUGGUGGUGCAUGGCCGUUCCUGGUUCGUGGAGCGAUUUGUCUUGUUUAUUCUGAUAACGGACGAGAUUCUAGCCUACUAAAUAGACGCUUCGAUCCUYCGAGUCGAGCGUUCUUCUUAGAGGGACAGGCGGUGUUCAGCCGCACGAGGCAGAGCAAUAACAGGUCUGUAAUGCCCUUAGAUGUCCUGGGCCACACGCGUCCUACAUUGAAGGAAUCAACGUGUGCUUUCCCUGUCCGAAGGGACYGGGUAACCCGUUGAACYUCCUUCGUGCUGGGGAUAGG
rnacentral:rRNA from 1 species